rnacentral:lncRNA from 1 species
UAACAGAAAUUUUUAUAAAAUAUAGUGUUUUAGGUGUAAUUUGAAUACAUAUACAAAAAUAGGGUUGUACCGUGUUUUGAAAACCAGUUGCACAAGUCUAUUCUAAGUUUGGUAAAACCUUGUACCAUAUUUUUGAACACCGGACUGGCUCUUUGUAAUUUGAUUCAAUUAUCUAUGAGUUCCUGUUGUUAUUGUAGGGAUUGGUGAACCAAAAAAAAUGAUAUGCAAGUAUUUGGGCUCAACACAAUAACCAACUCUCCUUGUAAAUGAGUCUUAUCAAAAACAUAGAUUUUUUUUAAAAAACUUGAAUUCAAUUCUUAUUUUUCCUUUGAUUUUGUGACCACCAUCUCAAACCCUUUAAAUCCCCUGUUUGGUUAAAUCAAAGAACGCCGUGGAUGAAUUUCAGAAGAUGGCCGAUAUGGCAAUGAGAAAGACUUUGAUUACGCAUGCUUGGAGAGGCGACAAUGGAAGACAAUUCUGAAAGCAGUAUCAGAAAAAUUGGAGAAGAAAGAAAGAUUGGUAAUUUAGGGUUUUUUCCCUUUUUGACAGAUAGGAAGGUUUUUUAACAGGAGGGAUCUAGUUGAACAACGUUAGUGACAUCUAGAAAGUCAAAAAAAUUCCAAAACUAAAUGGGCAAUUAUGCACAUUUGCCCAAAGAUUA